UGGGGAAUUUUCCGCAAUGGGCGAAAGCCUGACGGAGCAACGCCGCGUGAGGGAGGAAGGCUUUUGGGUUGUAAACCUCUUUUCUCAAGGAAGAUAGUGACGGUACUUGAGGAAUCAGCAUCGGCUAACUCCGUGCCAGCAGCCGCGGUAAUACGGAGGAUGCAAGCGUUAUCCGGAAUAAUUGGGCGUAAAGCGUUCGUAGGUGGUUUUGUAAGUCUGCUGUUAAAGCGUGUAGCUCAACUACAUAUAGGCAGUGGAAACUACAAAACUUGAGUGCGUUCGGGGCAGAGGGAAUUCCUAGUGUAGCGGUGAAAUGCGUAGAGAUUAGGAAGAACACCGGUGGCGAAAGCGCUCUGCUAGGCCGCAACUGACACUGAGGGACGAAAGCUAGGGGAGCGAAUGGGAUUAGAUACCCCCGUAGUCC
rnacentral:rRNA from 1 species